rnacentral:rRNA from 1 species
AGAGUUUGAUCCUGGCUCAGGACGAACGCUGGCGGCGCGCCUAACACAUGCAAGUCGAACGAGCGAGAGAGAGCUUGCUUUCUCGAGCGAGUGGCGAACGGGUGAGUAACGCGUGAGGAACCUGCCUCAAAGAGGGGGACAACAGUUGGAAACGACUGCUAAUACCGCAUAAGCCCACGGGUCGGCAUCGACCAGAGGGAAAAGGAGCAAUCCGCUUUGAGAUGGCCUCGCGUCCGAUUAGCUAGUUGGUGAGGUAACGGCCCACCAAGGCGACGAUCGGUAGCCGGACUGAGAGGUUGAACGGCCACAUUGGGACUGAGACACGGCCCAGACUCCUACGGGAGGCAGCAGUGGGGAAUAUUGCACAAUGGGGGAAACCCUGAUGCAGCGACGCCGCGUGGAGGAAGAAGGUCUUCGGAUUGUAAACUCCUGUUGUUGAGGAAGAUAAUGACGGUACUCAACAAGGAAGUGACGGCUAACUACGUGCCAGCAGCCGCGGUAAAACGUAGGUCACAAGCGUUGUCCGGAAUUACUGGGUGUAAAGGGAGCGCAGGCGGGAAGACAAGUUGGAAGUGAAAUCUAUGGGCUCAACCCAUAAACUGCUUUCAAAACUGUUUUUCUUGAGUAGUGCAGAGGUAGGCGGAAUUCCCGGUGUAGCGGUGGAAUGCGUAGAUAUCGGGAGGAACACCAGUGGCGAAGGCGGCCUACUGGGCACCAACUGACGCUGAGGCUCGAAAGUGUGGGUAGCAAACAGGAUUAGAUACCCUGGUAGUCCACACCGUAAACGAUGAUUACUAGGUGUUGGAGGAUUGACCCCUUCAGUGCCGCAGUUAACACAAUAAGUAAUCCACCUGGGGAGUACGACCGCAAGGUUGAAACUCAAAGGAAUUGACGGGGGCCCGCACAAGCAGUGGAGUAUGUGGUUUAAUUCGA